GCCGGCAGUGAGCUCCGGGGUUACUUCCCUUCUAAGGACGAGGUCGCGGGUUCGAAUCCCGCCUCUGGUACCA
rnacentral:tRNA from 1 species